rnacentral:rRNA from 1 species
AACGAACGCUGGCGGCAUGCCUAACACAUGCAAGUCGAACGAGACCUUCGGGUCUAGUUGCGCACGGGUGCGUAACGCGUGGGAACCUGCCCUUAGGUUCGGAAUAACUCCCCGAAAGGGGUGCUAAUACCGGAUAAUGUCUUCGGACCAAAGAUUUAUCGCCUUUGGAUGGGCCCGCGUUGGAUUAGCUAGUAGGUAGGGUAAAAGCCUACCAAGGCGACGAUCCAUAGCUGGUCUGAGAGGAUGAUCAGCCACACUGGGACUGAGACACGGCCCAGACUCCUACGGGAGGCAGCAGUGGGGAAUAUUGGACAAUGGGCGAAAGCCUGAUCCAGCAAUGCCGCGUGAGUGAUGAAGGCCUUAGGGUUGUAAAGCUCUUUUACCCGGGAUGAUAAUGACAGUACCGGGAGAAUAAGCUCCGGCUAACUCCGUG